rnacentral:ncRNA from 1 species
UUGAAAUACCAGCCUGACCUGUUUGAGGUUCUAACGUCGACCCCUUAUCGGGGUUAAGGACACUGUGUGGUGGGUAGUUUGACUGGGGCGGUCUCCUCCCAAAGCGUAACGGAGGAGCACAAAGGUGGGCUAAGCAUGGUCGGACAUCAUGCGGUUAGUGUAAUGGCACAAGCCCGCUUAACUGCGAGAAAGACAAGUCGAGCAGGUACGAAAGCAGGUCAUAGUGAUCCGGUGGUUCUGUAUGGAAGGGCCAUCGCUCAACGGAUAAAAGGUACUCCGGGGAUAACAGGCUGAUACCGCCCAAGAGUUCACAUCGACGGCGGUGUUUGGCACCUCGAUGUCGGCUCAUCACAUCCUGGGGCUGAAGCCGGUCCCAAGGGU